CGGCGGAAACGGCGACUAAUACCCCAUAUGCUGCGAUGCUGCAUGGCAUUGCAAUGAAAGAUUCAUCGGUGGCGGAUAGGCUCGCGGGACAUUAGCUAGACGGCGGGGCAACGGCCCACCGUGGCGACGAUGUCUAGGGGUUCUGAGAGGAAGACCCCCCACACUGGGACUGAGACACGGCCCAGACUCCUACGGGAGGCAGCAGUGAGGAAUAUUGGUCAAUGGGCGGAAGCCUGAACCAGCCAUGCCGCGUGAAGGACUAAGGCCCUACGGGUCGUAAACUUCUUUAGACGCAGAGCAAUAAGGUCCACGAGUGGACCGAUGAGAGUAUGCGUAGAAUAAGCAUCGGCUAACUCCGUGCCAGCAGCCGCGGUAAUACGGGGGAUGCGAGCGUUAUCCGGAUUCAUUGGGUUUAAAGGGUGCGUAGGCGGCCGAGUAAGUCAGCGGUGAAAGACCGGGGCUCAACCCUGGAAGUGCCGUUGAUACUGUUUGGCUGGAAUGAUCCCGCCGCGGGAGGAAUGAGUGGUGUAGCGGUGAAAUGCAUAGAUAUCACUCAGAACACCGAUUGCGAAGGCAUCUCGCGAGGGGUCAAUUGACGCUGAGGCACGAAAGCGUGGGGAUCGAACAGGAUUAGAUACCCUGGUAGUCCACGCGGU
rnacentral:rRNA from 1 species